rnacentral:lncRNA from 1 species
AGAGGGGGGCAAAAGGUACUAUCAUAUCUACAAAAAAACCUUCCUUUGCAAUUAGUGAAAACAUGUUUAGGUUUCUACGGAAGAACUUAUAACUAAAUUUGUAGGUUAACCUCAUCAAGCCUCAUGUUCUUCAUCGAGCCUCAUGUUCUGUUCAAGAACCUCCAUGACGAUAAUGCAAUACUGCCCGGUAGAUAGCAGCAACAUGAAGAAAGCAAAUGAGCACUACGAGGAGAUCAUCCAGGAGACCAACUAUU